rnacentral:rRNA from 1 species
AUUGAACGCUGGCGGCAGGCCUAACACAUGCCAGUCGAGCGGAUGAAGGGAGCUUGCUCCUGGAUUCAGCGGCGGACGGGUGAGUAAUUCCUAGGAAUCUGCCUGGUAGUUGGGGAUAACGUCCGUAAACGGGCGCUAAUACCGCAUACGUCCUGAUGGAGAAAGUGGGGGAUCUUCGGACCUCACGCUAUCUGAUGAGCCUAGGUCGGAUUAGCUAGUUGGUGGGGUAAAGGCCUACCAAGGCGACGAUCCGUAACUGGUCUGAGAGGAUGAUCAGUCACACUGGAACUGAGACACGGUCCAGACUCCUACGGGAGGCAGCAGUGGGGAAUAUUGGACAAUGGGCGAAAGCCUGAUCCAGCCAUGCCGCGUGUGUGAAGAAGGUCUUCGGAUUGUAAAGCACUUUAAGUUGGGAGGAAGGGCAGUAAGUUAAUACCUGGCUGUUUUGACGGUACCAACAGAAUAAGCACCGGCUAACUUCGUG